rnacentral:rRNA from 1 species
GGGUUGUGAGGUUAAGCGACUAAGCGUACACGGUGGAUGCCCUGGCAGUCAGAGGCGAUGAAGGACGUGCUAAUCUGCGAUAAGCGUCGGUGAGGUGAUAUGAACCGUUAUAACCGGCGAUUUCCGAAUGGGGAAACCCAGUGUGUUUCGACACACUAUCAUUAACUGAAUCCAUAGGUUAAUGAGGCGAACCGGGGGAACUGAAACAUCUAAGUACCCCGAGGAAAAGAAAUCAACCGAGAUUCCCCCAGUAGCGGCGAGCGAACGGGGAGGAGCCCAGAGCCUGAAUCAGUGUGUGUGUUAG